rnacentral:misc_RNA from 1 species
UGAAAGGCGAAACGUAAUGUGAAUCGCAACUAACAGUGAAUCAUCGAAUCUUUGAACGCAGGCCGCACCUUACAAUAUCACUCUGUGUUAUUGCAAGGUAUCUACGUAUGAGUGUCAGCCCAAUAUCCUUUUGGUUUAAGAGGUAAAAAAUUAUUUUUUUAAAAUAUUUUAAACUCUUAAAUACAUAUAUAUAAUACUUUUGUGUAUAUGUCUGGCCUCAUAUGUGGAAGGUUACCCGCUGGAUUUAA